rnacentral:rRNA from 1 species
UACGUAGGGUGCAAGCGUUAAUCGGAAUUACUGGGCGUAAAGCGUGCGCAGGCGGUUUUGUAAGACCGAGGUGAAAGCCCCGGGCUCAACCUGGGAAUGGCAUUUGGGACUGCAAGGCUUGAGUGCGGCAGAGGAGACUGGAAUUCCUGGUGUAGCAGUGAAAUGCGUAGAUAUCAGGAGGAAUACCGAUGGCGAAGGCAGGUCUCUGGGCUGACACUGACGCUGAGACGCGAAAGCGUGGGGAGCAAACAGG